UCACAUUCUCCUCAUUCGCAGCUUCAAAAUGACCCCCAUCAUGCCCAUAUUCCGCCUAGUUUAAAGUUUUGGGUCCCACCACGCGGGGUACUGUAGCACCGGUUUCAGCUGUGUCAGUAACCUAAAUAAAGGGAUCCUAGGCAUGAUGGA
ensembl:ncRNA Y82E9BR.26 ncRNA